rnacentral:rRNA from 1 species
GACAUGUCUGGAAUGCCGAAGAGAUUUGGCAGUGCUCGCAAGAGAACCGGAACACAGGUGCUGCAUGGCUGUCGUCAGCUCGUGUCGUGAGAUGUUGGGUUAAGUCCCGCAACGAGCGCAACCCUUGUCAUUAGUUGCUACGCAAGAGCACUCUAAUGAGACUGCCGGUGACAAACCGGAGGAAGGUGGGGAUGACGUCAAGUCCUCAUGGCCCUUAUGGGUAGGGCUUCACACGUCAUACAAUGGUCGGGACAGAGGGUCGCCAACCCGCGAGGGGGAGCCAAUCUCAGAAACCCGAUCGUAGUCCGGAUCGCAGUCUGCAACUCGACUGCGUGAAGUCGGAAUCGCUAGUAAUCGCGGAUCAGAAUGUCGCGGUGAAUACGUUCCCGGGUCUUGUACACACCGCCCGUCACACCAUGGGAGUGGGUUUCACCAGAAGUAGGUAGCCUAACCGUAAGGAGGGCGCUUACCACGGUGGAUUCACA